rnacentral:lncRNA from 1 species
UUAAACUGCUCCCAAGUUACCACAUUACCUCCAGCCUCUAACAUCCUCCUUUUUGAGGUCCACCAAGUGUCUGCCUUCCCUUCCAAAAUGAAAGAAGCGAAAGGCACUUUCUGAUUUUCCCUACAUUCGAUAGCUUCGAAUGUCUUUUCCACUUGACGAAUCCAACGUUCAGCAAAGAUUGGGUCUAGCUUGCCCUCAAAAAUUGGUGGUCCCAAUCUCUUAAAGUGAUCUAAAGUAUUAUUCCUACCCCGUGGAAUUUCAUCUCGUUCCUCCUAACGCUCAAAGUAUCCUCUAAUAGCAUUGAAGACUCCGUGUACGUCAUCUUGAGCAUUGACGGGUGCUGGGGCAUGAGGGGCAUUCUACGAAGUCGGAGAAGCAGGUCUAUAAUCAGUGACAGGUGUACGUGAGGAUUGGGUUUGCUCUACGAUGCGUGGAGCUUCCAAGUUAUUAUUUGUUUGAACACCUCUCCGAGUGCGUAGACCGAUAGCAUUGCGACCAUGAGCACCCCGAGUGACAGGACCACUAAUCUCUGGAAUUGGCUCCAUUACUCCUAUAAUAUGUUAAAGACAAUCAUCGGUUAGAAUCAAUCAAGGGACCUAAUACACCUACAGGCCCUAGACCAUGCUCUGAUACCAUAAAAAUAUGUCACAUCCAGAAUUUAUUUAUUUAUUUAUUUAUUUAUUUCCACACAGGCCAAAUAGAGAAACAUCACUUUAUUCAUCAUCUAUAAUCAUUUAUUACAAUUCAUUUAUUCAUCAAAUUACAAAUAGAAAAGUAAACAUAGUGAUGUUAACUUCAAGAGUCAUCCUAGUGGCUCUACCUAGCGGUAGAGGAAGGUCCGCUCUCCACUAGAAUCUGAUUUAGUACUAGAGGGAGGCUGCUCUGAAAAUCAAAAACAAAGAAAAUUCAGCAACGCUGAGUAGGAACCCCAAAAGUCAAAUCAAGAUAAAUACAUGACCAAAAUUCAAUCAAUCAUCCCAUUGGCGUAUAUCAAAUACCCGAAGGAGCACUCCCCCAAUAGCGGAUGGAGAGGCUUUAUCCUACGGGAUGAGUUUGUGUUCUCCCAACAGCGGAUGGAGGCAAACUCAUAUCACACUCCCAACAGCGGAUGGAGUGGUGUCCCACACCCGCCAAAGUGGGGACACGUUCCUCCCAACAGCGGAUGGAGGAACC